rnacentral:rRNA from 1 species
CAAUAGCGUAUAUUAAAGUUGUUGCAGUUAAAAAGCUCGUAGUUGGAUUUCUGGUAGGAGUGACCGUUCCGAACUUGAUUGUUCGUGUAUUGUGGUUUCUCCAGCCAUCCUUGUGGAGAACUUUUCUUGCAUUAAUUUGUAGGGAUUGGGACCCGCAUCGUUUACUGUGAAAAAAUUAGAGUGUUUAAAGCAGGCAAUCGCUUGAAUACAUUAGCAUGGAAUAAUAAGAUAGGACUUUGGUACUAUUUUGUUGGUUUGCAUACCAAAUUAAUGAUCAACAGGAACAGUUUGAGGAUAUUCGUAUGAACAUGUCAGAGGUGAAAUUCUUGGAUUUUGAUCAGACGAACUACUGCGAAAGCAUUUAUCAAGGAUGUUUUCAUUAA